rnacentral:rRNA from 1 species
GGCGUUGGUUAGGUGGACGUUGGGGUGUGGGAUCAAGUGGUGUGCGCUGCUCUUCGCCUCUCUCGCACUCUCUCGCGUGCGCGCGGUGUCUCGGCGUUCGUGUGUGUGUGUGCUCUUAGCUCACCUGGCCCUCGCGGGUUCUGUGUGUGGCGGGGUGCGCGCGCGCGCGUGCGUAUUCACGGGCCCGCCGCCGCGUGGUCACGGGUGCUUGGGGGUGGGCUCGCUCGCUACUCCCGCGACAUGCUCCCGUCCGUAACAAGCCUCCGCGCCUGCGUACAUAGUGGUGCUUGACUGGGGUGACGGACAAGGCGUCGGCGUAUGCUUGCCGGGCUGGCUUUUGAUGGGCGGCGCGUGUGUGUGUUCGCACGCACACUCUCUCACUCUCUCCAGCUGCCCGUGUCUUCGCUCGCCGCUCGCUCCCGUCUUCUCCUAGAGUAUCAGUGUCACCGUGAGUAAAUCGGAGUGCUCAAAGCAGUCGUAACGGGCCUCGUGCCCUGUGAACAGUCUUGACGGACUGACUUGGUUUUGCAUGGUAUGUCGGAAGACGACGUCGAGCGCUGGCUAAGAGGUAUUUUUAAUGAAUCAGUGGUAUAAGCCAGCCUCGACGUACUGAUUAAAAGGGCUUGUCGAGGGCAUUGGUAUUGCGGAGCGAGAGGUGAAAUUCUAUGACCUCCGCAAGACCGCCCGAAGCGAAAGCGUCUGCCAAGGAUGUUUUCAUUAAUCAUGAACGAAAGUUAGAGGAUCGAAGGCGAUCAGAUACCGCCCUAGUUCUAACCCUAAACGAUGCCAACCAUCAAUCCGCGCGUAGCACCCUUUAUGACGGGCUCGGCGGGCAGCUCCUUU